ACGACAACCGUGCUUAGAAAUCCUUAGGGAAUUGGACGACAAAAUAAGCGCCGAAGAAUUGGACAUGAUGAUUGAAGAAAUUGACUCCGAUGGCUCCGGAACUGUUGAUUUUGACGAGUUCAUGGAGGUAAUGACUGGUGGAGAUGACUAAAUAAUGUAAAAUAUAUUUCGAUUUUAUCAUAAUUUGUUUAUAACAUAGAGGACACGAAUAUGGAAGAAGAAUGAAUCGAUAUCAACUAAAUUAUAUACCUCCUAAGUAUAAUAAGUUAUUGUUAAGUUGUUAUUAAAAUCGAAGAUAACCGGUU